CAGUAAGCGGAGGAAAAGAAACUAACCAGGAUUCUCCCAGUAACGGCGAGUGAACGGAGAUUAGCCCAUCACCGAAGUCCAUUCACUUUUGUGGACAGGACAAUGUGGUGUUAAGGCGUGCAUCUGGGAUCGCUAGCCUACUCGAAGUCCAACUCCGAUUCUGGCUUGGACUUAGCCCAUAGCGGGUGAAAGGCCCGUGCGGGUAGGCUGUGUGUUUAAGCGGUCCUCAGACGUGCAUGCUUUCGAGUCGGAUUGCUUGAGAAUGCAGUCCAAAGUGGGUGGUAAACUCCAUCCAAGGCUAAAUACUGGCACGAGUCCGAUAGUAGACAAGUACCGUGAGGGAAAGUUGAAAAGUACUCUGAAGAGAGAGUAAAUAGCACGUGAAGCCGCUUGCAGGGAAGCUGGUGGAGUCAAGCUUCUUGUCUGUGGGAUUGUCAGCAGAGUGUGAUUGUUAUUGGACGUGGCCCUGGUGAGCCUGGAAACGGUUUGGCGCAUCCGUGUGCUUCAAGUCAUUCCGGGUAGAGUGUUUGUGCCGGGGCCUAUCUCCUUGCUCUGUUGAUUUAUUCCGCUGGACAUACAUCACGGUCGAUAAUGCAUUCGUACUGUGUGAUCGCUUAACUGUGCUUUGGCGGGCAUCCGUGUCUGCUAGGUGCGGGAAGGCAGGUGGUGCAUGUCGUGCUCUGCAUGACACUGCGCUUAUAGUGGUUUCGACCUGCUAGUGAUCACGCCCAUACCAGUAUCGACAUUAUCGUCUCUCGAAGGGUGCGCAGUUUACGGACUGUGUGCCGGUCAGAACCGUGAUGCUGAGGUAGACCUUCCACCC
rnacentral:rRNA from 1 species